UACGAAGGGUGCAAACGUUGCUCGGAAUUAUUGGGCGUAAAGCGCACGUAGGCGGUUACUCAAGUCGGAUGUGAAAGCCCUCGGCUUAACUGAGGAAGUGCACCCGAAACUGAGUAGCUAGAGUACUAAAGAGGGUCGCGGAAUUCCCGGUGUAGAGGUGAAAUUCGUAGAUAUCGGGAGGAACACCGGUGGCGAAGGCGGCGACCUGGGUAGAUACUGACGCUGAGGCGCGAAAGCGUGGGGAGCAAACAGG
rnacentral:rRNA from 1 species